CCCCACUCACACUCUGUCUCUCUCAAAAAUGAAUAAACAUUAAAAUAAAUUAAAAAUGAAUAAAAAUAAAAAAGAGAAAGAAAAAACCCUUCAGUCAUUAAAUAAAUGGGUGGGGAAGUUUUAGAGACAUGAGUCAGGGUAGAGAAAAGGGAAAAAGUAAUGACGGGCAAACAGCCUGACACCUGUGGACUAAUCAAGGGCCUACAAAUAUUUCAGACCUACGUAUAGGCUUUAAGAUACGAGAACUACAAUAGGAAAAUUAACAUUUAUAAUCCAGUGUCUCUAAAAAUCAAUUUGGUCAGUUUGAUUCUCAAUAGUGUUUUAUGUAGAUAUAUAAAAAUAAUUUUGAUGUAGGCUGCGCUUUUUAUUGCAUUUGAUUUUAAGUGUGCUGAAGGCUUCAUAAGUCCUGAAAGUUUAUUUUGGUCUUAAAAUAGCACUGCCCUUCCUUCAUUUCCUCUCUUCCUUCUGUUUUGUCUUCUUCAUUCUCACACUUCUGAACUGGAAAUAGUCUUCUACACCAAGGAUCUUGGCCUCUGCCCUCCACAUGGUUCUGAACCUCUGAACCUCCACGUGGUUCAGCAUACUCAGUCCUCAUUUAACUCCUCGUGAAAGGACUUUUCACUAGGCCCAGUGGCAAUUUUUAGGAAAGACAUGGGAUUCUUUCUGAUUAGAGAUCUGGCCCGUUUCCCCUGGUCUACAGGCCUCAAAAUAAUCAAAUUUUCUCACAAGCUAGCCAAAAUCUAGGUUGCUUUUAGGCAAACUUUGAGACCCAAUACAUUCAAUGCAAAGGGAAAGUUUGAUAUAACAUGAUUAAAUAAAGCAUGUACCCAUUCUUCUUACUUUAGCAAAACCCUGCAAACCCUUCCUAGUAAUUCUUGGGGUAUAGUCCAUAUAGAAAUGGAGACUUCCAAUUUAUCCUUUGAAAAUCAUAGGACAACUAACAGUACUCUUGCAUCAGAAUUUCAUCUGAAACUUCUGACUUUACAGAUAUUAUAUCUUAAUCAUAGGCUUAGGAAGUAUGUGAUUAUGCUUGUUUUUUUUUUUUUUCAGAGCUGCUUCUUUUUGAGGUCAUUAAGUCAAGUUUUAGGACAUCAUUUGGACUUGAGAAUUAUAUGUAAUGCAAUUCUAUUGAAAAGAAAUAUAGGUACCUGAUCCAUGCCUCCUAACUUGAUCUUUGGUUUUGCUGGGUUUUGUUUGAUUCUUUUACCUCAGGUGCACAUAGGGUUUUGGCUUUUUUUUUUUUUAAAGAUUUUAUUUUAAGUAAUCUCUGCACUCAAUGUGGGGCUUGAACUCACAAAGCCAAGAUCAGGAGUUGGAUACUCCACUGACUGAGCCAGCCAGGUGCCCCUCAGGUGCAUAUAAGUGAUAUAAAUAACAGCACUUCUACAUUAGGUUACUUAGCUGGUUAGUGUACUAGAUUUUGAUAUUAUAAAAUAAUAUCAAGAUUAUAUUUCCUAUCCAUUGAUAUCAGGCAUGGCAAUGUAUAAAAGUGACAUAGCCAGUUCAAAGCAGAAGCUUUAAGAGCUGUUGAAUGGUUUCACCAUCUCUUUUUUCCCUCUGCCACAAGACUUUUAUGUUCUGUGUAAGUGCUGCUUCUUCAACCUAGGUCCUGGAAUAAAGGUGGUAUGGAACAGAACAGCUGCCAACUUACAAUGGACAUGGAUAUGAGAAAUAAUUCCUUGUUGUUGAAUGGAGUUCCUGGGCAUGUAAAUGUUCAACCACAGAAGAUAAAACGAAAUAUUUUACAAGAUGGCCUACUCAUUUAAGUUCCUACAAGUAAUUAACAACUGAACUUGGGAACACGCAUCCUCUCCAACACUUGGUAUUUGUAUUGAAUAGCUUCUACUUGCCCCUCCCCAUCAAUUCUGUACCCUUUUCACCCUACUCUAUGCCCCAGAGGCUGACUUGUAUGGAUUUCAUCAAUGUCAGGUAUGUAUAUAACAAAUAUACUUUCCUAAUUUGUACCUUG